rnacentral:rRNA from 1 species
UACGGGGGGAGCAAGCGUUGUUCGGAUUUACUGGGCGUAAAGGGCGCGUAGGCGGCGUGACAAGUCACUUGUGAAAUCUCCGGGCUUAACCCGGAGCGGCCAAGUGAUACUGUCGUGCUAGAGUGCGGAAGGGGCUACUGGAAUUCUCGGUAUAGCGGUGAAAUGCGUAGAUAUCGAGAGGAACACCUGCGGCGAAGGCGGGUAGCUGGGCCGACACUGACGCUGAGGCGCGAAAGCCAGGGGAGCGAACGGG